rnacentral:rRNA from 1 species
UACGUAGGCAGCGAGCGUUGUUCGGAAUUACUGGGCGUAAAGCGCACGUAGGCGGCUACUCAAGUCAGAGGUGAAAGCCCAGGGCUUAACCUUGGAACUGACCUUUGAAACUAGGUAGCUAGAAUUCUGGAGAGGUCAGUGGAAUUCCGAGUGUAGAGGUAGAAAUUCGUAGAUAUUCGGAAGAACACCAGUGGCGAAGGCGACUGACUGGACAGACAUUGACGCUGAGGUGCGAAAGCGUGGGGAGCAAACAGG